rnacentral:rRNA from 1 species
AACGAACGCUGGCGGCAUGCCUAACACAUGCAAGUCGAACGAGACCUUCGGGUCUAGUGGCGCACGGGUGCGUAACGCGUGGGAAUCUGCCCUUGGGUGCGGAAUAACAGUCAGAAAUGACUGCUAAUACCGCAUAAUGACUCCGGUCCAAAGAUUUAUCGCCCAAGGAUGAGCCCGCGUCGGAUUAGCUAGUUGGUGAGGUAAAAGCUCACCAAGGCGACGAUCCGUAGCUGGUCUGAGAGGAUGAUCAGCCACACUGGGACUGAGACACGGCCCAGACUCCUACGGGAGGCAGCAGUGGGGAAUAUUGGACAAUGGGCGAAAGCCUGAUCCAGCAAUGCCGCGUGAGUGAUGAAGGCCUUAGGGUUGUAAAGCUCUUUUACCCGGGAUGAUAAUGACAGUACCGGGAGAAUAAGCCCCGGCUAACUCCGUGCCAGCCGCCGCCGUAAGAC